rnacentral:rRNA from 1 species
UCGUGAUUUGGGCUAUAUUACGGACCCAAAAUUACUUGUUCAAGCAUUGUUUUCGAAUUUUUUCAUGCAUCAAAGCUCGUUAAGACUAGAUGGGGUAUCCCUACAUAGCGGGUGGGACCCACGGCAAAUGGUUCAUCAAGUCUUCAAAAAAGAAUAUAUACGAUUGCAUUGCAUAUACUAACGGAUGCGAUCAUACCAGCACUAAUGCACCGGAUCCCAUCAGAACUCCGCAGUUAAGCGUGCUUGGGCGAGAGUAGUACUAGGAUGGGUGACCUCCCGGGAAGUCCUCGUGUUGCAUCCCUCUUUUAUGUUUAACCUUUUUUUUUUUGGUUAAAACUUUAUGACUCCAUAACUUCUACACAGA